CGCUCUAGGCCGCUGCCCACACCUCCCAGCUGCGUUUCCGCCGAGGCCGGGCAGGUGAAGAGAUUCCUGGCGAGCGGCCCUGGUAUGGUGUGAGUCUUCGCCGACUUGCACCAUCGGGCGGCAUCUCCCGCCAUCCUACACCCUCUGGCGCCUUCCCUUCUGUCCCGCUGCCAACCCGCGCCGUAGGUGUCGGCGCUCCGGGACCCUGAUCCACACUUCUGGAUGUGCCUGCACUCUGGCCUGGGGAUGAGGAUGCCCCAUGGGACCAGUAGAGUGUACAUAAGAUGAAGCUUAGAAGCUGCAGAGGAGGUAACUCAGUGCAGGAAGACCCAGGAGAGGUGUCUUCAUCCUGUCAGGAAGCAGCUGGACCUUGAGGACCGGAGGAGUGUCACAUGUCUGCUGUUCGGGUGUGUGAGCGGUGGGUGUCCUUGGGUCCAGAUUCAUGAUGGUAUUUGUGGACACCAGAGUGGCACAGAACCGAGAUUGAGGCUGCCAGAUGAAGCAUCACCAGAGCUCCUUCAUUCUGCACAAGAGAAGAGAGGGAAAGGCUUAGGGUCCAGACAUUGGAGAUGCUGUAGCUGGGCUCUGGAUUGUACCAACAGGGCCAACAGAGGGCAAUGGGCAAGGCCCAGUCCCAUGUCCCUCCACCAUACCUGGCACGGCUUUAUAAUAACAAAGAAUUUUUCUCUUAGAUUUGUAGCCCUUUUCGUCAUCAUCCUCUCCUCCCACCCAUUCAAUAAACAAACUUGCUCAACCUGCCUUUUAAAUCAGUAA
rnacentral:lncRNA from 1 species